GAUGAAGAACGUAGCGAAAUGCGAUAAGUAAUGUGAAUUGCAGAAUUCAGUGAAUCAUCGAAUCUUUGAACGCACAUUGCGCCCGCCAGUAUUCUGGCGGGCAUGCCUGUUCGAGCGUCAUUUCAACCAUCAAGCCCCAGGCUUGUGUUGGGGACCUGCGGCUGCCGCAGGCCCUGAAAAUCAGUGGCGGGCUCGCUAGUCACUCCGAGCGUAGUAGCAUACAUCUCGCUCUGGGCGUGCUGCGGGUUCCGGCCGUUAAACCACCUUCAUAACCCAAGGUUGACCUCGGAUCAGGUAGGAAGACCCGCUGAACUUAAGCAUAUCAAUAAGCGGAGGA
rnacentral:misc_RNA from 1 species